AGGACGAACGCUGGCGGCGUGCCUAACACAUGCAAGUCGAACGGGACCCGCAAGGGUUCAGUGGCGAACGGGUGCGUAACACGUGAAGAAUUUAUCCAACGGCGGGGGAUAGCCGGCCCAACGGCCGGGUAAUACCGCGUACGACCCUCGGGGGGCAUCCCCUGAAGGUGAAAGCCGCAAGGCGCCGAUGGAGAACUUCGCGGCCUAUCAGCUAGUUGGUGAGGUCAUGGCUCACCAAGGCGACGACGGGUAGCUGGUCCGAGAGGAUGACCAGCCACAUUGGGACUGAGACACGGCCCAGACUCCUACGGGAGGCAGCAGUGGGGAAUAUUGGACAAUGGGCGAAAGCCUGAUCCAGCAAUGCCGCGUGAGUGACGACGGCCUUCGGGUUGUAACCUCUUUAGUAGGGAAGAAGCGAAGUGACGGUACCUGCAGAAAAGCACCGGCUAACUACGUGCCAGCAGCCGC
rnacentral:rRNA from 1 species